UUUAUGCAAUAUUAAAGGUCUACAGUGUGUUAAUCCUUCUUCUUAGGGUUGAAGACACAGUAGUAAGUCAAAUAAAGUCCCCACUCUCGUAAAUUUAUUCUGAGAACUAGUACAUCAAAUAUUAGGUGGUGAUAGCAAAGUAAAAUGAAAGAGAGUUAUGCAGGUGAAUGAGAGACAUUUUUUUAAAUGUAUGUUUUAUUAGGACAUAUUCAGUUUAGAAAAUACUGAGUUUCAUUAUGGCAUCUUCAUACAUGUGUAUAACAUAUUUUGAUCAUAUCCAUACUGGCUCAUUUGCCUUCCUUGAUCUUCUUCUUGUGUAACACACUCCCUUCUGCUUUCAUGUAAUUUUUUUAAAAAAAGAUUCCACAUAUUAAGAAAGAUAUGCAAUAUGUGCUUGAGUCUGGCUUAUUUUGCUUAACAUGAUGAACUACAGUUCUCCAUUUUCUCCAAAUGACAUAAUUUCAUUUUUCUUUAGGACUGAAUAAUGCUCCAUUGUGUAUAUGCCACAUUUCCCUUAUCUAUUGGUGGGCAUGUGGGCUGAUUCCAUAUCUUGGCUAUUGUGAAUAGUGCAGUAAUACAUAUGGGUAUAUAGGUUUCUCCAUAGCAGAGACAUUAUUUUUAAAUGCUGUGAUUGGGGAGAUUUAAGCAAAGAUCUAAAAGAGGUGAUAGAGACUUAUGGAAAUAUCUGCAGCAAUCUUCCUGGCAGACAGAACAACAAAUCCAAAGGCCCUGAAGCUCAAGUGUGCUUGGAGGAUCUGAAGAACUACAAAAAGACUAAGGUGGCUUGAGCUGAUCACCAACGUGGAGAACAGCAGGAAAUGGGUCAUCGAGGUGAGGACACAGUGAGCACUUUGGACUUUCCCCUGCUCCAGGUGAGAAAAUGGAGGCAGGAAGAUGUCUGUCUUAGUCCAUUUGUGCUGCUGUGACACAAUACCACAGACUGGGUAAUUGACAAAGAACAAAGAUUUACUCUCACAGUUCUGGAGGAGGAGAAGUCCAAGAUUAAGGUGCCGGCAUCUGUGAGGAUGCUGCGCUCCUGCCCUGCGGAGGAUGCAGCAGAUAAGCACCAUCUUGGAGGAAGAGAAUGGCUGUACCAGACCAAACCUGCUGGUACCUUGACCUCAGACUUCCCAGCCUCCAGAACAAAUCUUCAAGCACCACAAUAUGGCAUGUCUUCCCUCUGCCACAAGAAGGGUGAUGUCCCUGAGAGCUGCUUCUUCAGUCUGGAAUGAAGAAGAUAUGAAACAAAGCCACAGCCUACCUUCCACUAACAUGUAACAUGAGCAAAGCAAACAACAUUAUUGCUGCAAGCCUCUGAGAUUUUUAACAAUAAUUGUAACACAACUGAUGAAAGUUCAUGGAUAUAGAUGCCUUCAAGGACUUUGACCUCAGCAACUAAAAGAAUGGAGUUUCCCUUGACUGCGAUGGGAAGCUCAAGGGGGAAGAAGGUUUCAAAGGGCUUAUUAAGAGUUCACUUUCAAUGAGAUGUGUCCAGGCAGGGACACAGAGGAGGCAAUUGGAUUUAAGAAUCGAACAUUAAGGGAAAGAGCUAGGCUGGAGAUAAAAUAAAAUUGGUGUUCAUCAGCAUACAGCUGGUAAUUUAUAGGGCCAGAGGAUUCAUUAAGAUCAUCAAGGGAGUGCCUAUCACUAUAGGAGAGGAAGACUCCAUGAGAGGUCAUUAGCGAUCUCAUCACGAACAUUUUCUCUCACAGUGAGUUUGAGAAGGAAUGUGGGGAAAGAAAUUGACUACAACCAGGACAGUUAAUUUCUUGAGAUUUGCUCUGAAGGAAGCCAAGAAAUGGGCCAUAACCCGGCAAUUUCCAAUAGGAUGAAAACAUCAGACCAGAUGCUCUUCUUGCACAGAUGAGCAUAUUCCUUUUCUUUCUCUUGGCCUGUUUCUCAGUUUUACCACACUGUGAAGUACCUAUGAUUACCUUCCAGGGUCUCUAACAGGUGAAGUGACUUAAUUAAUGUCACACACCUAGUACAUGGCACAGCCGAGAGUCAUUCCUUCAUCUCUCUUUUGACAAAGCCUGUGCUCUUUUCUCCUUUAUAAUUGUCUUCCAGAAAAGUUGCAAUAUUUUCUUUGAAGCAAAUUUCACAAAUGUUUCCUGCAUUACUUCUCAACUAGCAAAGUGUAGCUUGGGAUAAAAUUGACAUAAUCAGGUGACUUUUUGUUCCCUAGUGCUUACUAUUAAGCUAUGUUCUGCUGCUGUCAGUUUUAAAUUAAGAGUUCUCACUCGACCUAAAAUGUGGCUUAAACUCAACACUAGUUCAGUCUAGAAGGAAAGCUGCAAACUCACCAAAAUGUCAGGUGAACAUUUUAGUCCUUCUUUGGUUUUAAGUUCAAGCAACCAAUUACCAAACUAUAAUUACUUUAAAAUUUGGUAGAAAUUUUAUGAAUUCAUAAUGAUGAUUGGAUACAUGUGAUUGAAGGUUAAAAGUGGUGUUCUAGUGCAAAAGCCGUUUCUCCUACCUACUGGUUGGUUGAAUUUCAUCCACACAUAAUAAACAAAUGGAUCAUGUGGCAAUGACUAGGCUCUUAUAUUGAUUAGGCUUUUCUAGAGGAACAGAAUUGAUAGAAACACACACACACACACACACACACACUCACACACAUGAGCUUUAGCAUAUAUAGCAAGACAAUUUAUUAGGUAGGCUCACGGAAUUAGAGAUAGGAGAAUCCACAGUGAGUAUCUGCAUGCUGGAGAGUCAGAGGGAGCUGAUCGGUCCAAAAAGCUGGGAGCCAAAGAACAAAGAUGCAGCAGCAGUGUGAAACCAAAGGCCUAGAAGCUUCCUGGAAAGUUGCUAGUAUGAGUGAGUCUCCAUUGGAUGCCCGAAGAUAUAAAAGUCUGAUGCUUAUAGUCCAUGGCAGCAACAGACACACCCACUCAAGCAAAAUGGAGCUUGGAAAAUGCAGUCGACUUCCUCUCUUUUCCCUGUUUUAUUUCACCUGGACUCAAAGCCUAGUGGAUGGAGCCACACACAAUCAGCAUGGGUCUCCCCUCCGUGCUGACCCACCUGGCAGUCAUCUCUGGAAACUCCCCACCACCACACCAAGAAGUGUGCUCUACUAACCCACUAGGCAUUUCUUUUUAUUGGCAGUACUGGGAUUGGGUCUGGGGCCUUCACACUGAGCUACAUCCCCAGCUCCUCUUUGUUUAUUAUUAUUAUUAUUAUUAUUAUUAUUAUUAUUAAUACUUUGACACAGAGUCUUAUGAGUCACUAAGUUGCCCAUGCUAAGUUUGAGCUUUUGAUCCUUGUUCCUCAGUCUCCUAGGGUGCUGGGAUUACAGGUGUGCCCCACCAUUUCUUAAUCUGCUCAAGUUGAUAUAUCAUAAUAGUCACAGUUCUCAAAAUGUUA
ensembl:lncRNA